GACGGUUUGGGAGUGGUCUAAGGUGCCAGAUUUAGGCUCUGUUCAAAAGGGCGUGGGUUCAAAUCUCACAGCCAUCA
rnacentral:tRNA from 1 species